UUUAGAAUGCCUGAUAAAAGGGUUAUUAUGAUAUAAUAAUUAAUGUAUUUACAAAUUACUUCUAAAG
rnacentral:tRNA from 1 species